rnacentral:rRNA from 1 species
UCCUACGGGAGGCAGCAGUGGGGAAUAUUGGACAAUGGGGGCAACCCUGAUCCAGCCAUGCCGCGUGUGUGAAGAAGGCCCUCGGGUUGUAAAGCACUUUCAGCGAGGAAGAACGCCUAGCGGUUAAUACCCGCUAGGAAAGACAUCACUCGCAGAAGAAGCACCGGCUAACUCCGUGCCAGCAGCCGCGGUAAUACGGAGGGUGCAAGCGUUAAUCGGAAUUACUGGGCGUAAAGCGCGCGUAGGUGGCUUGAUAAGCCGGUUGUGAAAGCCCCGGGCUCAACCUGGGAACGGCAUCCGGAACUGUCAAGCUAGAGUGCAGGAGAGGAAGGUAGAAUUCCCGGUGUAGCGGUGAAAUGCGUAGAGAUCGGGAGGAAUACCAGUGGCGAAGGCGGCCUUCUGGACUGACACUGACACUGAGGUGCGAAAGCGUGGGUAGCAAACAGGAUUAGAUACCCUGGUAGUCCACGCCGUAAACGAUGUCGACCAGCCGUUGGGUGCCUAGCGCACUUUGUGGCGAAGUUAACGCGAUAAGUCGACCGCCUGGGGAGUACGGCCGCAAGGUUAAACUCAAAUGAAUUGACGG